rnacentral:rRNA from 1 species
UUACUGCUUUGUGAUUCAUGACUGGGGUGAAGUCGUAACAAGGUAACCGUAGGGGAACCUGCGGUUGGAUCACCUCCUUACCUUAAAGAA